AUUGAACGCUAGCGGGAUGCUUUACACAUGCAAGUCGAACGAGUGGCGGACGGGUGAGUCAUAUAUCGGAACGUGCCCAGUAGCGGGGGAUAACUACUCGAAAGAGUGGCUAAUACCGCAUACAAUGGGAGAGGCAGAUAUCGGAUUAGCUAGGUGGUGGGGUAAAGGCUCACCAAGGCAACGAUCCGUAGCUGGUUUGAGAGGACGGACAGCCACACGUGGACUGAGCCACGGCCCAGACUCCUACGGGAGGCAGCAGUGGGGAAUUUUGGACAAUGGGGGAAACCCUGAUCCAGCCAUCCCGCGUGUAUGAGAAGGCCUUCGGGUUGUAAAGUACUUUUGGCAGAGAAGCGGUAUCUGCAGAAUAAGCACCGGCUAACUACGUGCCAGCAGCCGCGGUAAUUC
rnacentral:rRNA from 1 species